UCCCUGGAGGUCCUGUGGUUAAGACUCUGUACUCCCAAUGCAGGGGAUCCGGGUUCAAUCCCUGGUCAGGGAA
rnacentral:tRNA from 1 species